rnacentral:rRNA from 1 species
UACAGAGGUCUCAAGCGUUGUUCGGAUUCAUUGGGCGUAAAGGGUGCGUAGGCGGUGGGGCAAGUCAGGUGUGAAAUCCCGGAGCUCAACUCCGGAACUGCACUUGAUACUGCCUUGCUAGAGUACUGGAGAGGAGACUGGAAUUUACGGUGUAGCAGUGAAAUGCGUAGAGAUCGUAAGGAAGACCAGUGGCGAAGGCGAGUCUCUGGACAGUUACUGACGCUGAGGCACGAAGGCCAGGGGAGCAAACGGG